UGUAUCUGAAUCAUUUUAGCUCCUCGCCUCCUGUAGCAAGGCUAGUGAAGACUUCAGAGCAUAAAAAUGGUUACUAGCAUACGUGUGAUACUUGGAAUUAUAGGAUGUGCAGUCUGUAUGCUUCUCUAUUCAGCACCAAUAUUGACAUUUAAAAGAGUAAUCAAGGAGGCUAGUGUAGGCGAAUUCUCAUGCAUACCGUAUAUCCUGACUCUGUUCAGCUGCCUCACAUAUAGCUGGUAUGGUUUUCCAAUUGUUAGCUCUGGGUGGAAGAACUUGACAGUUUUCCUCAUCAGCUCAAUAGGAGUAAUCUUUGAAAUAUCAUUCAUCGGCAUAUACCUAUGGUUUGCACCAAGAGAGAAAAAGAAGCUCGUUAUCCUAAUUGUAUCUCUGUUUCUGGCAAUCUUCGGCAUGACCAUAUUAAUCUCAUGCUUUAUAAUCCACACCCACCACAUACGAAAGGUAUUUGUUGGAAGUAUUGGUGUAUUGUCUGCCAUGCUGAUGUACAGCUCUCCUCUUGUUGCUGUGAAACAAGUUGUAAGGACGAGAAGUGUGGAGUUCAUGCCUUUCUACUUGUCAUUGUUUUCCUUCUUAACCAGUUUAAUCUGGAUGGUAUAUGGACUCCUAGGCAGGGAUCCCUAUAUUACGUUGCCAAACUGUGUUGGGUGUGCAACAGGCAUCCUUCAGUUGGUUGUCUACUGUAUUUACAGCAGAAGCAAGGAAAGACCAAAGAUGCAAAACAAUAUGGGAAAUGAUAUGGAAGUGGCAACCAGUUGUAAAGACACGACAGAACAUAAGCCUUGACAUGGAACAAGUAUACCCUCUUUUCCCCAGAAGCACCAUUGCUGCAUACCUAACAUGAGAGGGAAUAUUAUGGUGCCAUUUGGAGUUUUGGAUAUUCACUUAUUUGUUUGUUGUAUAUCAUGCAGCUAAAUUGUCCUAAGACAUCAUCCAGAGAAGCCACAAAGUCAGAACAUCCCAUAAUCAGUCAUAAGCUAUUAAGCUGAAUGGUGAAUGCAAAUAAGGUCCACAAUAAAUCUAGAAGUUGGGUCCAAAUAAAAACUGGAGUCCAUCCAUGCAACUACUCUGAGAUACAUAUUGACAAAGUGGAUCGGUUUCAGAUCAUUUCAAAAGCUAGCAAUCAUUGGCUGCCAUUCGAAGUUGAGACAUGUCAUAAACUGCAAAGUUAACGAUUGACUCCUUACCUCAAGACUUUUCGUGUCUAUUAAGCUGAGUUGAUCAAAAUAAUGUAAUAUCCAUGGUCAGAUUUCUAUCAAAACUCAAGGAAAUAGUCUUCAUAUUAAGUUCAUACUGUGCGAGACCUCUUCUUGACAGCAGCUUCAAAAUUCCAAUGGCAUUAUCCUUCUAACUGAUUGCCUCUCUGGUUACCUUGUACAUGAUAUCUAUUGAUCAGCAAAAUGCAGAAGAGAUCAGUUUGGUAGCUUUAA